rnacentral:rRNA from 1 species
UGAGGAAUAUUGCGCAAUGGGGGAAACCCUGACGCAGCAACGCCGCGUGAGUGAGGAAGGUUUUCGGACCGUAAAGCUCUGUCGAGCGGGAAGAAAUGCAUGGUGGCUAAUAUCCAUCAUGCUUGACGGUACCGCUAAAGGAAGCACCGGCUAACUCCGUGCCAGCAGCCGCGGUAAUACGGGGGGUGCGAGCGUUGUUCGGAAUUAUUGGGCGUAAAGAGCGGGUAGGCGGCUGAAUAAGUCAGAUGUGAAAGCCCGGGGCUUAACCCAGGACGUGCAUUGGAAACUAUUAGGCUAGAGUAGGGGAGAGGAAAGUGGAAUUCCUAGUGUAGAGGUGAAAUUCGUAGAUAUCAGGAGGAACACCGGUGGCGAAGGCGACUUUCUGGCCCUAUACUGACGCUGAGACGCGAGAGCGUGGGUAGCAAACA